AUUGAACGCUGGCGGCAGGCCUAACACAUGCAAGUCGAACGAGCGGCGGACGGGUGAGUAAUGUCUGGGAAACUGCCUGAUGGAGGGGGAGAACUACUGGGAACGGUAUCUAAUACCGCAUACCAUCAGAUGUGCCCAGAUGGGAUUAGCUAGGAGGUGGGGGAAAGGCUCACCUAGGCGACGAUCCCUAGCUGGUCUGAGAGGAUGACCAGCCACACUGGAACUGAGACACGGUCCAGACUCCUACGGGAGGCAGCAGUGGGGAAUAUUGCACAAUGGGCGCAAGCCUGACGCAGCCAUGCCGCGUGUAUGAAGAAGGCCUUCGGGUUGUAAAGUACUUUCAGCGGGGAGGCGUUACCCGCAGAAGAAGCACCGGCUAACUCCGUGCCAGCAGCCGCGGUAAUAC
rnacentral:rRNA from 1 species